UAGUGAGCAAACCUUGUUGUCAAAGCCUGACUUUGUCAUAUCUCAGAAGCUAAGCAGGGCUGAGCCUGGUUAGUACUUGGAUGGGAGGCUGCUGGGAAUACCAGGUGCCACACUGG
rnacentral:rRNA from 1 species